rnacentral:rRNA from 1 species
CAGCCGCCGCGGUAAUACCGGCGGCCCGAGUGGCGGUCACUAUUAUUGGGCUUAAAGGGUCCGGAGCCGGGGUGGGAAGUCCUCCGGGAAAUCUGGCCGCUUUACGGUCAGAAUGCCGGAGGAUACUCCCAGCCUAGGGAGCGGGAGAGGCCGAGGGGAUUCCCGGAGGAGGGGGGGAAUCCUAUAAUCCCGGGAGGACCACCUGUGGCGAAGGCGCUCGGCUGGAACGCGUCCGACGGUGAGGGACGAAGGCCAGGGGAGCAAACCGGAUUAGAUACCCGGGUAGUCCUGGCUGUAAACGAUGCGGACUUUGUGUCGGACAAGCUAUGAGCUUGUCCGGUGCCGGAGGGAAACCGUUAAGUCCGCCGCCUGGGGAGUACGGCCGCAAGGCUGAAACUUAAAGGAAUUGGCGGG